rnacentral:rRNA from 1 species
AACGAACGCUGGCGGCAUGCCUAACACAUGCAAGUCGAACGAGACCUUCGGGUCUAGUGGCGCACGGGUGCGUAACGCGUGGGAACCUGCCCUUAGGUUCGGAAUAACUCCCCGAAAGGGGUGCUAAUACCGGAUAAUGUCUUCGGACCAAAGAUUUAUCGCCUUUGGAUGGGCCCGCGUUGGAUUAGCUAGUUGGUAGGGUAAAAGCCUACCAAGGCGACGAUCCAUAGCUGGUCUGAGAGGAUGAUCAGCCACACUGGGACUGAGACACGGCCCAGACUCCUACGGGAGGCAGCAGUGGGGAAUAUUGGACAAUGGGCGCAAGCCUGAUCCAGCAAUGCCGCGUGAGUGAUGAAGUCCUUAGGGUUGUAAAGCUAUUUUACCCGGGAUGAUAAUGACAGUACCGGGAGAAUAAGCUCCGGCUAACUCCGUG